rnacentral:rRNA from 1 species
GACGAACGCUGGCGGCGUGCCUAAUACAUGCAAGUAGAACGCUGAAGAGAGGAGCUUGCUCUUCUUGGAUGAGUUGCGAACGGGUGAGUAACGCGUAGGUAACCUGCCUUGUAGCGGGGGAUAACUAUUGGAAACGAUAGCUAAUACCGCAUAACAAUGGAUGACACAUGUCAUUUAUUUGAAAGGGGCAUUUGCUCCACUACAAGAUGGACCUGCGUUGUAUUAGCUAGUAGGUGAGGUAAUGGCUCACCUAGGCGACGGUACAUAGCCGACCUGAGAGGGUGAUCGGCCACACUGGGACUGAGACACGGCCCAGACUCCUACGGGAGGCAGCAGUAGGGAAUCUUCGGCAAUGGGGGCAACCCUGACCGAGCAACGCCGCGGGAGGGAAGAAGGUUUUCGGAUCGUAAAGAUCUGUUGUAAGUCAAGAACGGGUGUGAGAGUGGAAAGUUCACACUGUGACGGUAGCUUACCAGAAAGGGACGGCUAACUACGUG